rnacentral:rRNA from 1 species
AUACGGAGGGUGCAAGCGUUAUUCGGAAUCACUGGGCGUAAAGCGCGCGCAGGCGGCUAUUUAAGUUGGAUGUGAAAGCCUACGGCUCAACCGUAGAACUGCAUCCAAAACUAUUUAGCUAGAGUGUGGGAGAGGAAGAUGGAAUUAGUUGUGUAGGGGUAAAAUCUGUAGAGAUAACUAGGAAUACCAAAAGCGAAGGCAAUCUUCUGGAACACUACUGACGCUGAGGCGCGAAAGCGUGGGGAGCAAACAGGAUUAGAAACCCUAGUAGUCC